rnacentral:tRNA from 1 species
GGCGUGGUAGCCAAGUGGUAAGGCAGCGGUUUGCAAAACCGUUAUUCAUCGGUUCGAGUCCGAUCCACGCCUCCA